UUCUCUCUUCGAGAAGACGAUCGGAGGCGGCGGCUCACGGUGGAGCCUCCGCUCUUCUCCGUCGCUUCACUCUCUCUCUUCCCUAACUCUUUUCAUGAACCACUUCCCUCUUUCUCCUUCUCAUAAUUUCGAGCCACACGACAUAAAAUCAUACGAAAACAAACUCAACCGAAAAAUCUACAAAAAGGGAACUCAUGGAGGAAGACAGAGGUGAAUUAUUUACCAAAUCGGAAGUUCUGAAAAUCUCCGGGUUCGGUGAGAUCCUCCGGAUGCAGGCAACGGUUCUCUUCGGCGAGCGACUCUUCAGUGAGGUUACAGCUCUGAGGUGGCUUUGAUGGAAUGGGAAGAAGAAGUAGGCUGUAGGACAGUACACUUGGAGGCGCGCUAGUCUUGGCCAUUAGAAUUAGGGACCUUUUUGCAGCAAAUUCUACUUAGUUAAAAUGUAACUAUUUAGUUUAGUUUUUUUUUUUAAUUUCUAAUUUAAGUAUAAUGACUUAACUUAAAAACAAAUUUCUAAUUUAA